UACAACUUUCAACAACGGAUCUCUUGGCUCUCGCAUCGAUGAAGAACGCAGCGAAAUGCGAUAAGUAAUGUGAAUUGCAGAAUUCAGUGAAUCAUCGAAUCUUUGAACGCACCUUGCGCUCCUUGGUAUUCCGAGGAGCAUGCCUGUUUGAGUAUCAUG
rnacentral:rRNA from 1 species